AACGAACGCUGGCGGCGUGCCUAACACAUGCAAGUCGGACGCGAAAGAGGGCUUCGGUUCUCGAGUAGAGUGGCGCACGGGUGAGUAACGCGUAGGUAAUCUACCCUUAUGAUUGGGAUAACUGACCGAAAGGUCAGCUAAUACCGGAUACACUUUAGGUUACGCGAGUGAUUUAGAGGAAAGGUGACCUCUGCAUGCAAGUUGCCGUAUAGGGAUGAGCCUGCGUACCAUUAGCUAGUUGGUGUGGUAAGAGCGCACCAAGGCGACGAUGGUUAGCGGGUCUGAGAGGAUGAUCCGCCACACUGGAACUGGAACACGGACCAGACUCCUACGGGAGGCUG
rnacentral:rRNA from 1 species